UACGAAGGGGGGCUAGCGUUGUUCGGAAUUACUGGGCGUAAAGCGCACGUAGGCGGACAUUUAAGUUGGAGGUGAAAGCCUUGGGCUCAACCCAAGAAUUGCCUUUGAUACUGGAUGUCUCGAGACCGGGAGAGGUGAGUGGAAUUCCGAGUGUAGAGGUGAAAUUCGUAGAUAUUCGCAAGAACACCAGUGGCGAAGGCGGCUCACUGGCCCGGUACUGACGCUGAGGUGCGAAAGCGUGGGGAGCAAACAGG
rnacentral:rRNA from 1 species